rnacentral:rRNA from 1 species
AUUGAACGCUGGCGGCAGGCCUAACACAUGCAAGUCGAGCGGAUGAAGGGUGCUUGUUCCUGGAUCCCGCGGCGGAAGGGUGAGUAAAGCCUAUGAAUCUGCCUGGUUGUGGGGGAUAACGUCUGGAGACGGGCGCUGAUACCGCAUAAGUCGUGAUGCAGAUGCUGGGGGAUGUUCGGACCUCUUGGUCUCUGAUGAGCCUAGGUCGGGUUAGCUAGUUGGUGGGGUAAAGACCUACUAAGGCGGCCAUCGGUAACUGGACUGAGAGGAGGAUCAGCCACACGGGAAGUUAGACAGGGACCAGGCUCCUACGGGAGGGAGCAGUGGGGAAUGUGGGACAAUGGGCGAAAACCUGGUCCAACGAUGCCACGUGUGUGAAGAAGGUCUUCGGAGUGGAAAGCACUUUAAGUUGUGAGGAAGGGCAGUAAGUUAAUACCUUGCUGUUGUGACGGUACCAACAGAAUAAGCACCGGCUAACUUCGUG